rnacentral:rRNA from 1 species
UACGUAGGGGGCAAGCGUUGUCCGGAUUUAUUGGGCGUAAAGAGCGUGUAGGCGGCCAGGUAGGUCCGCUGUGAAAACUUGAGGCUCAACCUCGAGAUGUCGGCGGAAACCCCCUGGCUAGAGUCCGGAAGAGGAGAGUGGAAUUCCCAGUGUAGUGGUGAAAUACGUAGAGAUUGGGAAGAACACCAGUGGCGAAGGCGGCUAUCUGGACGGUUUCUGACGCUAAGACGCGAAAGCGUGGGGAGCAAACAGG